AUAUUUUAGGCCAUUCAGAGGCAAGGACAUCGUUAAAAGAGCACUCAGUAUGAUAGGUCCAAAUGCAUACAAUUUAUUUUGGAACAACUGUGAACAUUUUGCCACUUGGUGUCGAUAUGAUAAAAAAAGAUCCGGUCAGGUUGACAAGGCUUUAACUGUGUUUUCAGUAGUUGGAGGGAUCGCGGUAGCUGCAGGAUUGUUACACGAAAUGUUCAAAGACGAUGAAUGAAAUCGAACAGGUGAUACAGAUGUUUGCUGGUUCGUCACAAAUAUAUUUGGACAAUGUUUGAAGAAUACUGUUGUUGACCGAUAUAUUUAAGUUACAUCUUAAUUUAUUUUA